UACAGAGGAGCCAAGCGUUGUCCGGAUUGACUGGGCGUAAAGCGCACGCAGGCGGAUGCGCGCGUGGGGUGUGAAAUCUGGCCGCUUAACGGCCAGGCGCCAUCCCAUACGGCGCGUCUGGAGUGAUGCAGAGGUCGGUGGAAUUGCCGGUGUAGUGGUGAAAUGCGUAGAGAUCGGGCAGGAACACCCCAGGGGGAAACCAGCCGACUGGGCAUCUACUGACGCUGAGGUGCGAGAGCGUGGGGAGCGAACCGG
rnacentral:rRNA from 1 species